CUUGAUGGGAGCUGUGCGCAUGGCGUCUUCGGGCGCGCCGGUUUUUCGCUUUCCUUACCGGUCGACUAACUUGCGCACAGCUGCCACCCUU
rnacentral:antisense_RNA from 1 species